rnacentral:tmRNA from 1 species
GGGGGUGUACCGGUUUCGACGGGGUUGUUGGCACGUGGACUGCGAGUAGAGGAUUCUCGUUGGCCUCUUAAAAAACGAGAAAUUUAAAAUUAAACGCAAGAAAUAAUUCUUUGCAGGCUGCCUAAGGGCGCCACGUUGACCCGGGAGUCACCCGUGCCCCCGGCAAUCAGCGUCAUUAAGUCGGGCCUGCCUACGCGGCGGUUAGCGUAGGGUACGGGAAAGCUUAAGCUUUGCGGCUUUCCGGCACUUAUGAAGCUACCGGCUGUUAACUUUCGGUCAUCUGAGUUCACAGUCGGGAAUUUUAAUCGGUGACAUACACUCGUAGACGUUUGCGGAGAUAUGAUUUCGGACAGGGGUUCGAUUCCCCUCACCUCCACCA